CCUACGGGUGGCAGCAGUGAGGAAUAUUGGUCAAUGGGCGAGAGCCUGAACCAGCCAAGUCGCGUGAGGGAGUACUGCCCUAUGGGUUGUAAACCUCUUUUGUCGGGGAGCAAAAGCCGGACGUGUCCGGCUGUGAGCGUACCCGCAGAAAAAGCAUCGGCUAACUCCGUGCCAGCAGCCGCGGUAAUUCGGAGGAUGCGAGCGUUACCCGGAUUUAUGGGGGUUAAAGGGUGCGCAGGCGGAAUGUUAAGUCAGCGGUCAAAUCGUGGGGUUCAACCCCAUCCAGCCGUUGAAACUGGGGAUCUAGAGUGAGCGAGAGGUAUGCGGAAUGCGUAGUGUAGCGGUGAAAUGCAUAGAUAUCACGCAGAACCCCGAUUGCGAAGGCAGCUUACCGGUGAACAACUGACGCUCAGGCACGAAAGCGUGGGUAUCGAACAGGAUUAGAUACCCGGGUAGUC
rnacentral:rRNA from 1 species